GGGUGGUUACACUUAGCAAGCCCGGUAGCCCCAGGCCCAAUAUGGCGGGCUCUACCCACGUGCAGCCCGGGCAGCUGCUGCCUUCUCUUUUCAUUCUCUCCUCCAUUUCUGAUUCCACAAAUUCACCUUCUUCGGCCCCAUCUCCUCUCAGCCUCUCACAGUCGCAGCACCACUCGCUCGCUCACACCAGGUACACCUGUUAAACCCGUCUCUCUGCAUUUUUAUCUUUACUGAUUGAUAACUUAAUUUGGGUAUUAUUAAUAGUUUAAUUUAGAGUUUGAUUGAAGGUUUAACUCAGGUUUAUAAUUGGGGUUUUACUUAUGUUUUGGAUUAGGUGGGUUUUGGUAUUUUCAGCUCCCCAAGUAUUUCACUUUCGUUGUGGAUUGUUGUUUUUGGAAUUAAUUUAGCUUUUGUUUUUUCAUUUUUCUCAUAUUCCCACCUGAUUUGGCUUCCAUAUAAAAACCAACAAAUAGCUCACCUAUGACAAGUAGCUCCCAUUUGUAUUAACUUCAGGAGGGAGAGAGAAUUUAAAGUGGUUAUCAAAUUUGCUGCAAGUAAUUUCGAGUUUUCCUCUACUUGGUUGAGCUUUUGUUGCUCGUAUAAUUUCCCGUUAAGCAUAGGAUGACCGCCCAGUGUUACACGAAAUGUCUCAAAGAAAUAUGACAUUUUGGAACUCGUUUGGAAACUGGGUUAUUUGCCACUUUACUUGUAAAUCCAAGUUUUGCUAUGAAAAUUGUAUUUAUCGGGAAAUUCGAUGAAACCGCCUGCUGAUGAUCUCUAUGAUUAUCACAACAAAAAUGUUUGAUCGUGCUUUUUUUCUCCGAGAUAACGGUGAAUAAGGGUUCUAUUUGCUUGUUUCUUUUUAA